rnacentral:lncRNA from 1 species
AAGAAAUUAUUCUAAUUUGUUGAGUAAAAAUUCACGCAACGAACCUAAUCUCUUGCUUUCCAGAGUUAUUGUUGAACAGUCUCGAUCGAGAUUCUGUCAGAUUGACUUUCCAUUCUCGAACCCUCGUUGAUUUAAGUACACUAGCAUAAUUCUGCCUAUGUUUUUUUCACAAGAUAAUGUCGAAACUACAGCAUACAAAAAUGACUAAGAAUGAACAAACAAGAGCAUGAUACUUUCUUCAAGGUUUGUUAUUGCCAGGCGUUUGUGUCUUUCGUCAGUAGGAAUUCUCCGGACUCGUUUUUCUUCAAAAGCUUCUCAAGCAUCACAUCCCAAUUAGGUCUUCCAUCAUAUGACGCCAAUUUAGAUUUUAUCUCAUUCUCAGAAGACUUGGCAUUGUCACCUUCUACGGAUUCUUCAUUCCUGGUUGAGCGUUCCUCUUCGGGGACAGUGGAAACAGGGAUUUUCAAACUAACGGCUCUUUCCAAGCAUCCUUGUGGUCUUUUUUUUGUAUUGUUCUCAUUCUACCGAGUUUUUGUACUUUGGGGGCAGUUGUUAUGGUCUCAUAAUUUUUCUCCCCAAGUAUCUGUAAGAAAGUAUUGAGUUUAAUUGGGGUCGAUUUUUCAGCAAAAUAUUCAUGAUAAAUUGGUUAUGGAUGACUUCAAUUGAGAACGAAAAACUAUAAAUUAUCCGUUUAUUUUUACUUCAAUUUUUUUAGAUGGAAUAUAUUUUUAUUUAGAUAAAUGGAGUCAAAUAUCUCAUGGCAAUUCUGUCAAUCUAAGUAGAAGAACGCUAAGUAGAAGAGAGCUGAUCAGACGGGCUUGAACCAGCUCGCCUACAUGACGAGUCCCCAUACACCCAUUUGGGGGUCAAAAAAAAAUUUUGUCCCAUCCACACCCAAAUAGGUGACUGCAGACGCACCACGUAAGCGAACCCGUAGUAAUACAACGGACUCAAUCCCGUCUGAUCAGCUCUCCUAAGUAGAAAUAACAUUAAAAAUGUGUACCUAAUUAUCCAUUAUACGCAUUAAACGUGUCAAAUUUUGAUUAUGCAAGUUUGAACCGGAUACAACCCAUUUAACAUUCGUGUUUAUAAAUCCAUCAUACUUGUGUUAACAUCAAAAAAUAACUAAUUCUAAUUAUUUAAUUUGUGUACUAUUCAAGUCAUGUUAUUGUGUGGUGUAAAAAAAAUUUAAAACUCGUAAUAACUUUAAUAUUUAAACUGAGGAAAUAACACCAUAAGUAAACCCUAAUUAGGGUUUUAAAAGAGAAAAUAUCAAAAAAUGUCAUUUUUUAAAAAUUUUAGAAAAAAAAAAUUCUGUUAUUGACCGCCUCAGGAGUAUAGAAUGACCAAAAAAAAAUAAUUUUUGAUACAUUUUUUACACUUUUCAAUAUACUUUCAUAUAUUUUUAUACAUUUUUUAUAUUUUCUUAUAUAAUUUUCACAAUUUUUUAUAUACUAUAGACCGUUCUUUGGACUAUUUUUAGCAUUUCCCAAAAAACAAUUUAUUCAGUCACUCCUAGGCGGAAAACAAAAACAAUUUAUCAACGAAUAUCUUUAAUUAUGACCGAAUUAUAUCUACAUUUUGUUUCCCAGCCCCCAGGUUAAACCUGUUUUUGUGUCAUUUCACAUACAAAAAUAAUUAUGUCAUCUUCAGAAAAAACCCAAAGAAAUACACAGAAAAUACACCUAAAAUGGUAGUAGAAAAUACUUUUUGGGGUUAAUUACAAUGGUUCUUAGAUUUUCAAACCAUCCUAUGCAAGUCGAAUUGGGUGGUUCUAUUUAGAAUUUUACUCCAUUUCUUCUUUUUACAAUACCAACCAGCCCUAACCCAUACUUUUUUUUUAUUAUAAUUAGACUAAUCCAUGUGACAUGCCACAGAUUUACAAUUAAAUAUGCGACGUAGCCUUUUGCCCGGAGCGGUAAAAUUUCGACAGGCCAGGUAAGGCCAGCUCUUCACCCUAACCCAUACUUCCUAAUUGGAAAAGUGCUCUCAGUCUAAGGCCAAAGUUUUCCACAUGAGAAAGCUGGGGGUAAGAACAGCCCUCUCAAAGAUUCAAGCCAAAAAUGAAGGAAACCAUACUUGUCAAGUGCCAAACAAUGCCUUCAUCUUCUCUCUAAAAGAUGAGAGAGAAAGAGAUUGAGAUUUCCAAAUCCCUCUCACUCCUAGAGAAAAGAGUCAUCAAACAACACCAAGCACUCGACAAGUAGAAUCAUUAACACCUCUUUUUUAGCUUGAAUCCAAGUGGAUCUGAUCCAAAACCCCUCAACUCUCUUUUCGGUGUGGUUAAAGCAAAAGAAUCAUCAUCGAGCACUCAACAAAAAUAUAUAAAUAUAUGUAAAGUGUAAAUCUUCAAAUAGAAAAAGAUAGAACAGAUCGGAAAGUGUAGAACCUACGAGAAAAAGCAGGAAUCCAUAGGGAAAUUGGAAUCCGCAUGUCCAGAGGCUCCAAUGUUUGGGAUUUGAUUUCGCAUCGAUUCGUAUUUCCUUUGCCAUUCGUUUAACAGAGGAAAUCAUAAUAGAUGCCCAUUGUUUGUUGAUUGAAAUCGAGAAUUUGAGAGAGAGAGAGAGAGAGAGAGAGAGAGAGAGAGAUUGUUGGUUGGUUGGUUGGUUGCAUCGAGAUUUUCGGAGAGAGAGGCUGAGAGCGGAGGCCUGACGGCGAAGGCGAGGGCCAAAGCGAAUUUAUAUAGUGAUGAUGAUAGGGUUUGGGUGAAAUCUAAU